GGGGCUGUAGCUCAGUUGGUAGAGAGCCUGCCUCGCACGCACGAGGCCCUGGGUUCAAUCCCCAGCACCAGCACCA